GUCCUGAAGAGUUUAGCUCCAACCCCAAUUAAACACACCUGAAGCAGCUAAUCAAGCUCUUACUAGGCAUACUAGAAACUUAAAGGCAGGUGUGUUGAGGCAAGUUGGAGCUAAACUCUGCAGGACCGAGUUUGGGCACCCCUGCACUAAAUCAUUUUUAUCAUUUUGUUGACAUAUAAUAUUGUUUAAGCAACAACACACACACACACACACAUACAUACAUACAAUACUAAUAAUUAUUUGCAUUUUUACAUUUGCAUACCAACACUGCAAUCAGGUAUAAAUUUGAGAGAAGACGACGAUGAAUACCACUGUCUGCAUGUAUGUGUAUGGAUGGAUGCUUUGAAAACAUUAGGCUACACCAAUAAAGAAGUAGCCUAAUAACAACUGAAUAAAUGAAUUAAUAAACAUAAGCAUUUCCUCAAGCACAUUAGUAAGCCCAACGUACAUCUUUUAUUUUAAAAACCAAUAAACAAUGCAAACUCCAUGGCGUACAUUUCAGCAACGAACUUUCAUUCGAACUGCGCAAUCAGUGCGCAGCUUUAACGCCCAAAAAAACUUUUGUGAUCAAACACGGAAGUAGUUCAAAGAAACUCCCGCGUAGUUUUCAUUGUUUGGAUAAGCCAUGUGCGUUUGAUGGAGAUGCAGUGCGUUUACAACCGAAUGACUGCGAUGUCUAAACUAAAGAGGAAGAAAUCAGCGAUUGAGGAGAGCAGAUGCGAGCAGCAGACGACGAUCAAGAAGUCCAAAGGUAGUCUGAGUGCAGAACAGGACAGCAGCUGCAGCAAAACAUCUAACGUUACAGGCAGGGCGAGAUGGUGGGAGAGUUCUGAAUUAAGUGAUGUGGAGAGACUCUGGGCUCUUACCUUGAGGGCUUUUUGCCCAGCCCUGCAGUCUGAUCAGGAAGAAUGUAUUCCACAGCUCCCCCCACCUUCAUCCACGAAAACUCCUGUACAAAAAGUAAGUGAUUGGAGGUGGUGCAGUGCAGAUGAAGAUGUUAAUCCCCCUCCGGAUUUGCCCGCUCCAUCUUUCCUCAACAACCCACAACCAGUGAAUGAGGUCAAGAACCCUUCACAACCUCCAGCAGCAGAGAACAUGGGAGAAUGUAGUCCACCAGCCAUCGCUGAUCAAGAGAAUCAUGCAUCUUCACCUGAUCAGGAGAGUGUGUCAGUAUGUGAUGUACAAACUGCUCAGCAGCGCCACCUAGAAGACAAAGUCAAUUGCGUUGAGGGUCAUGAAUUGUCAGACGAACAGAGUGACAAAUUUGACCAAGUGGGGAAAAUAUCAGAAACGUGUGAAGUUACAAGAGGGUUUGGAGCAGGAUUGGAUGUGGAAUCUGGAGCAGGAAAGGGGGCAAAAGCAGGUGCAGGAGGAUCUGGAUCAUGGUUAAGAACAAUAUCUGAAGCAGAAGGAUUGGUAUCAGGCAUGAGAACAAAACAAGGAACAGGUGGAUCUGGAUCAGGGCAGAAAGCAAAAUCUGGAGCAGGUCAGCGAGCAAAAUCAGGAGUAAGAGGAUCUGAAUUGGUGCUGGGAGCAAAAUCUGGAGUGGGAUUAGAUGCAGAAUCUGGACCAGGGAAGGGGGUAAAAACAGGUGCAGGAGGAUCUGGAUCACAGCUAAGAACAAUAUCUGAAGCAGUUUCAAGCAUGGGAACAAAACACGGAGCAAGUGGAUCUGGAUCAGGGCAGAGAGCAAAAUCAGGGCUAGGAGGAUUUGAGUCAGGGCUGGGAACAAAUUCAAGAGAAAGUGGACCUGGAUUGGGGCAGGGAACAAAAUCUGGAUUGAAUUUGGGGAAAAAAUCAGGGACAGAAGAAUCUGGAGCAGCAUCUGGAUCAGGACUGGAAACAAAAUUAAUAGCAGAAGGAUCCGGGACAGCAUCUGGAUCAGAACUGGGAACAACAUCCGGAACAGAAGGAUCUGGAGCAGCAUCUGGAUCAGGACUGGGAACUAAAUUAUUAGCAGAAGGAUCCGGAACAGCAUCUGGAUCAGAACUGGGAACAACAUCCGGAACAGAAGGAUCUGGAGCAGCAUCUGGAUCAGGACUGGGAACUAAAUUAUUAGCAGAAGGAUCCGGAACAGCAUCUGGAUCAGAAGGAUCUGGAGCAGCAUCUAGAUCAGGACUGGAGUGCUGCCCAAUGUGUCUGAUGCCAUUUCCUGCAGGGUUCACCCAAAUGCAAUGUGAUGGUCAUCUCGCACAAUGUUUAUCAGAGAUGCAUGAAGAUAUUAUUUGGUGA
rnacentral:lncRNA from 1 species